rnacentral:rRNA from 1 species
ACGGCGAGUGAAGCGGCAACAGCUCAAAUUUGAAAUCUGGCCGUCAGGUCCGAGUUGUAAUUUGUAGAGGAUGUUUUGGGCACCGCAGCCGGAUAAAUUUCUUGGAACAGAAUGUCAUAGAGGGUGAGAGUCCCGUCUUGACCGGCUGUAGGACCUGUGUAAAACUCCUUCGACGAGUUCGACUUGUUUGGGAAUGCAGGUCAAAAUGGGUGGUAAAUUUCAUCUAAAGCUAAAUAUUGGCCAGAGACCGAUAGCGCACAAGUAGAGUGAUCGAAAGAUGAAAAGCACUUUGAAAAGAGAGUUAAACAGUAUGUGAAAUUGUUGAAAGGGAAGCGCAGGCAACCAGACUCGAGCGCGGGGUUCCCCCUUCCUUUUGGGUUGGGCUACUUCCCCGUGACCGGGCCAUCAUCAGUUUUGGGGGCGGGUUAAAGGCCUUGGGAAUGUAUCUACCCCUUUCGGGGGUAGACUUAUAGCCCUCGGUGUCAUGCCGCCUCCCGGGACUGAGGAACGCGCUUCGGCGAGGAUGAUGGCGUAAUGGUUGUCUGCGACCCGUCUUGAAACACGGACCAAGGAGUCUAACAUCUAUGCGAGUGUUCGGGUGUCAAACCCUUGCGCGGAAUGAAAGUGAACGGAGGUAGGAAGGCCUGAGCCUGCACUAUCGACCGAUCCUGAUGUCUUCGGAUGGAUUUGAGUAAGAGCAUAGCUGUUGGGACCCGAAAGAUGGUGAACUAUGCGUGAAUAGGGUGAAGCCAGAGGAAACUCUGGUGGAGGCUCGCAGCGGUUCUGACGUGCAAAUCGAUCGUCAAAUUUGCGUAUAGGGGCGAAAGAC